rnacentral:tRNA from 1 species
AGUCCGGAGGUGCAUUGCAUGUAAGGUUGCAAACCUUGAGGAGCAGGUUAGUCCCCUGCCCGGGCUU